rnacentral:tRNA from 1 species
GGGUUGUGGCUCAGUGGUACAGCACUUGCCUAGCACGUGUGUGGCCCUGGGUUCAAUCCUGAGCACCCA